UAAAGCUGCUCGUUCCUGGAUUUUUUUGGGGCUGGGGUGCAGGGUGUGGAGCUCAGGGAGUGUGAGUCGAUAGCACUCGGCCCGGUAUCCCGCCUGGAUGGAUGCACGCACCAGUGAACCUGUGGUGGAAACGCGGCAGAUGAAUAAUGAACACCCUGCCUGGAAACUGCGGCGGGGAGCAGCGAGGUCCUACAGCAGCAAACCAUUGAGCCGGAGCUGAUGACCUUAAGGUCCAAAAGGCAUCUUCUUAACAGCGACGUUCUCCGCUUCUCUCAUGCCUGCGGUACUCCGGCAAGGAGAUCCCGGAACUUUCUGUUCAGCUUCCCCUUCGGGCUGCCAGACGUUUCCGUCUGAAUCAGCAGCAGCUCUUGGAACAGGAAUCGGACUCCAAAAUUCUUGGCAUCAGCCCCUAGCCUCAACCAACUCGAUUUAGCCAACGAUUAAAAGCCCUGCAGAGAGCGGUGCGGUGUUCCGGAAGGAUAACUGGAGGCAGGAGGUAUCGCAGUAUCCGGUCCCGAACCGGCAGGCUGAGGGACAACCUCCUCCAUCAGGCCAUCAGACUGCUGAACAUUGACCACUAGUACGUCAUAGACAAUUCACUGGCACUUUUCGACACUUCGACACUUUAUCCUCUCCAUACCGCAGAUUUGUGCACAACAUUUAUCUACGGACAUUCUGUACACACACACACACACACAUACACACACACACGUAUAUAAUGUAUAUUUUGUAUUCACAUUCAU